UACGAAGGGGGCUAGCGUUGCUCGGAAUCACUGGGCGUAAAGGGUGCGUAGGCGGGUUUUUAAGUCAGGGGUGAAAUCCUGGAGCUCAACUCCAGAACUGCCUUUGAUACUGAAGAUCUUGAGUCUGGGAGAGGUGAGUGGAACUGCGAGUGUAGAGGUGAAAUUUGUAGAUAUUCGCAAGAACACCAGUGGCGAAGGCGGCUCACUGGCCCGGUACUGACGCUGAGGCACGAAAGCGUGGGGAGCAAACAGG
rnacentral:rRNA from 1 species